rnacentral:lncRNA from 1 species
UUUUUUUUCUGUAUUUUUUUUUCUUUCUGAUUAUCAGUUGUCAGAAAUACAUGUCUGGAACUGUAAUUCAAGGAUAUUAUGAGGAAAACAUGAGAGAUAAUAUUUCUCCGAACUCAAAUCAAAUCAAUAUUGAAAAAAUUAAGAGCAACCCAUGAAAGUGAAACUGUAAUAGUAUCGCAAUUAAAUAUGAUCUUCUUAGCAUCUGUCUUUUACUGACAAAAAUAUUGAAUGAAAGUCUUAGUGAAAAACCAAAAGUGUACUUGACAUAAUCUUGCUUCAUUCUAGUCACCUGAAUGCAGCUAAAAUUAUUAGAUUUAUUCAAGAUAAAAUAAAUUGACUUUCUUGAUCUUAUUUAAGGUAUCUCAAUCAAACUUUAUUCUACUAUGCAUUACAAGAUUCUAGGGCUAAUUUAAAUUGUGUUUAGGGUUUUUGUCUUCCCAAAUCAGCUCUGAAUUAAAUGUUUCACAGAAAAGGAAGACAUCUUAAAAGAAAAAUUAUAGCAGGGCAGGAAGUUUGAGGUUAGGCUGGUCUAAACAGAAUGAGUUCCAGGAAAGUCAGGGCUAUGCAGAAAAACCUUGUCUCAAAAAGCAAAAACAAAAACAGAAAGAAAAAUUUUAAGAUAAAGGCAAUUACUAUAUUAUAUAAGCCAUAGUGUACAAUUUAUAUUAGAAAAGCUCCUCACUGUCAUUUUAUUAAAUUAACAUCACUCUCAUUUUUUUACUUUAAAGCUUACUCUUAAUUCUUUACUCCAAAGGGAUCACUGGUUCUGUUUCUCUAAUGCCAGAUUGAGUGGUUAGUGAGUAUCGGAAGUCCCUGCCAGUUAAUGGUAGUGUUGCGUAAAAACAGAGCAAGUUGAUCAUUCAAAUAUCCGAAAAUUUCCAUUCAUGAAGACAGUAUGUAUGGAAACAGGGACACGUAAACAUGAUUAAGUGUGUUUCCAGCUUCCUGGACAGUAUCAAAGGAUACUUUUUAUCUCCAUUUCCAUCUCUAGGAGACACUCUGUGAAUAUGGAAUAACUUAUGUUUUCCAUGUUUAUAAGGAGAAAAGACAGCAGAACUUCACGAAUCACGGUUUGCCUAGUGAUAUGAAUAACAUUAGUCAUUAUGUAUAAAGCUCUUUAUACAGUCAAUCAGUGUUUUUUAAGAUGUUUCAGUGGCAUUUUCAUUUCAGUUGUUCAACUCCAGGAUUUACAAGUGAUUGAGUCAGGUAUCAGGGGCUUAUUUUCAAUAAUGUUCAUUGUGAAAAUUUGUGGGACAUGUGACCAACUGCAAACAACAGUGUGGACGCUUUCUGUGCCAGCUUCUAAUUCAUAAACUACAAAAAAUGUUUCAAAUUUUUAUUUAAAAAAUCAGUGAAUUGAUUUGAGAUUUAUCUUCUAAGAUAUAAAAUGAAGUAUCUCUCCUUGAAUUAAUAACCCUGAACUGUAAUUAAAAAUAUUUAAAAAUGUGUUCAGACAAAUUCAAAGGGAGACAUACUGAAUAAUCCUAGUUGUAUUUGAACUUAAAAGCUGAUAUUUUCAAUUCCAUAUUCAAUAAGUGUUUUAGAAAGUGAGAUAAAACUGCAAAACCCUUCAGAAGAGUAGGUACAAAAGCUGAUGGCAGCAGAAACAUGGAGGGAGAAACAAAGGAGGGAAAGAGUGCAGGAAGGAAGGGAAGAAGG